AGAUUAUUUAACUGCCAUUAUACUUUUUGUCUUUCUUUCUUUCUUUCUUUCUUUCUUUCUUUUUAAUUUCUUGUAAUAAUGCAUUACUUAACUAAUUCAUUGAAUAUAAAGAUGACCAUAUUACAUUCUGUAAAGAAUAACUUGUGACAGGUGGUACCUCGGUGCUCGGUUGUUCCUUCUGAAUAUAUUUCAAACCUUCAUUUGUCGGUCAUUUUCUACACCUUAUUUCCACCUGUGCAUUAUGUUUCUUUAUUUAUGUAAUGUGUCAAGGUGGUUUUAAGAAAUGUACAGCAUGCCAUUAUGGAAAAGUGUUAAAAAAAACAACAACUUUAAUUUGACCGCCCAGCUUCGUCUCAUACAGAAAGACUGAAAACCCAAUUCCCCAACGGACAAUUUCCCGUUUGUGCUAUGUACCAGUCUGCUUGACCACAAUACUUCCUUUUUUUUCUCACAACAUAAAAGCUUUUGCUUGUUCGACAAUGUCAGUGAAUCAAAAAGUUAGAAAAAAAAUAAAAUAAAUCAAUAAAGUAUCCAGGUUACUUUUCAGUGACCAACAGGAAACACUUAAAACAUACAUUUAUUUAUUUAAAAAAAAUACAAUCAAGGAAAAACAAUGCCAAAAUUGAAGACAAAAACCUUACAGCUGUCAAAAAAUUAGCCACUGUAAGACUUCAUCACAUCUGCGACUGCAGGACAGAAACUAUUUUCUAACGCAGCUCUGAUGUGAUCUUGGUGCAAACUUCUUCCAGACUUUUUUUUUUUUUCCAGAGUUUGGUAACUGUGGUGAUUUCUUAGCAGUAACUAAACAGUCAGGUUUCGAUCAGGACUCUGUGUUCUUGGAUUCAGGGAACUGUUUUACCUGUUUGGUGGUGUGACUGGGAGCUCUGUCUAACGAGAAAAUUGCGGACUGAUUGGGAGAUGCUCGGAGAAACGGAACCAUGUGUUGCCGAAGGAAGUUCUGAUAACAUUUGCCUUCACCUUGCUAUGUAGCUGUAUAAGAGGCCCAACUCCUGCUGCAGAAGUCAUCCCCCAAACCAUGUCGUGUGGUCAGAAGAGAACUGCACCAAAGUGGGAGUAAAUUUCAUUUAUUCAAUUCAAUUUCAAUUCAAUUCUAUUUGUAUAGCGCUUUUAACAAUGAACAUUGUCUCAAAGCAGCUUGACAGAACAUAAGAAACAAAAAAAACCCUAAGCCUGAGGCGACAGUAGCAGGGAAAAAUAUCCAUUAGAUGGUUUGAGGAAGAAACCGGGAGAGGAACCAGACUCAAACGGGAAUUUAUCCUCAUUUGGGUGAUAUGAACAAUGUCCUUUCUGCACUUCUGUACAGUCAGUUGUUUGGUGCAGAUACAGCAUAUGUAGAAUGUUAGUGUGUGUAUUAAUUAGAAGGUUGUUGUCAUCCUCGCAGUCCACAUAGGGUUGGCAGCGGUUUUUAUUUAGGAAACAGUAUGUUUGGCAUCAAACUUGGGGAAGUCUGAACGCAAAGUGUGGAAGAAGUUUAGUGAUCAGUGGAGGACGAAGUGUCAUGGUUUGUGGGAUGUUUUCUGCAGACUACUAGAAGAACGCAUCAAGAUCACACCAGGGAAGUGAGAGAAAGUAAUGAUGUUCCACAGAAUGUGCUGAAGUCAUUCGAAGCCACUACACUUCCUAUUCAUUUUUGCCUGUAACUGUAAGCCUUAAAUAUUAAGUUGGAAUGUUCUUUUGUGCAGCAGUGGUCACUCUUGUCUAAUUUUGAUCACGGGGUUUUUUGCUGAAGUUGAAAACUGUGAUAUGAUACAAUGAUAUGACUGUCCGCUAUUCGUCUAUAGACUCGAUCCAGCAGUAAUGGAUUCGUGGCUCGGUUUAACAAACAGAUCCGGGACAGGACAAGAUACUGAUAUUUCACCAAUACGUUACGUCUUUAAUAAAUACAGAGGAGGCCAAAUAUUUCAUGACAGGAACAAGCUUGCUAAUUUACCACAACUUCCUCUUACGCCAAAGUAGAUAGACAGACAAGAAUUUUUUUUUUUCCUUGGGGCUAUGAAUGUAAGUAAUGCACACUCUGUGUCCUUAAUCUAAAUAAUAUAAUAUACAGAUUAGCCUUUUUUUUUAAAUGUAUAUUAUACACAUGUAAAUAACACAAUCUGCAGCGAUUAUAUUUUAGGCUUUGCUUAUGUUGACAUGGGCUGUGAGGGCACAAUGCAAGAGGGCUUUUCUUCAUUCAACCCAAAUAAACAAAUCCCAUGGGUGAAUGCAAAGGCGGGUCAAAAAAACAGGUUGUGGUCUAGACCUGGCAAAAAAGGGCUAGGCUCAGACAGGUUUAAACACAGACUGUGGUCUAAACAGGGCAAGGCAAAAAUAAACGGAUUCGGAUGGGCUUGGUGCACAAAAAAAACCCAAAAGGCUCGGCAACCUCAUGGAUUAAAGCACGGAGUGCUUUAUUCUUCACGAGGAAGACAACACACACAAGAGCUGUUGCUUGUAAAACAGGCUUGAGCUUGAAGCCCAGAUAAACUACUGAAGCACAUGUUGAGCAGGUAACGGCUGUUAAACAGCGGAUCUCGGCUCCUCCGACCUGUCAUCAUUAUACACAUUAAUGUGGAAUCGCCUUAAGGUCCAAACCCGUGCGCGAUAACUCAUGUCCCGCGCAAAUUCCCAGGCAAACACAGUCAAUGCAAAAACACAUUUCCUGCUGUCGACAGCUUCGCUGGCGAGAAUCAAUCAACCGUUCAUCCAUUUACACUCUUUGCAUACCCUUAUGUCAAAGAAAAAAAGAAAAAAACAAAACGCUCCGAGACUCCUCGGCUCUUCUGAGGCGAUUGCUCCGUCGUUCUGAAGAAUCCAUCAAGCCGCGUUUGAUUGAUAAGUCUGUCUGCGCUCACAGCGGUACGGCUACAGCAAAUGGGGUGGCAAAGCGCGAGCUGACAUAAUGCAAGUCUGCGCAAGUUUUUGGAGACAGACUGGGAACGAUCAUGGGGGGUAAAAGUUUGAUGGUACGACAUGCUACCAAAUAACACGCAGAGUCGAGGCCAACGCAAGCUGGCCCCGUGUGCAGCUUUCUCGACGAAGACACAGACCUACGGUAAAGCCGGCUCGCGUAUGAUGUUUUAUUCAGCACCUGACAUUAACCUCAUUUGCAUUUCGCUUCUUUAUUGAGCCGUUCCAAGUACCUGGUUGAGACUUAUAAAGCAUAACGUCGUCAGAAGUCAGAUUAAAGAUGGACCCAGUAGGCAGCAGCCAUUAUCACCAUGAAAACUUUACCAAAAUGAUCCGAGGAGCUUACAGGCUUUUAUUCGGAGUUUGAACACUUGAUUUUGAUUUUUGUCAGCAAGACACAUCCUAAUGACCAAGUUCUCUAAAAACGAGGCCAUUUUUAGGGCAGUGUAAUGGAUCUCGCAUUAGGGGCCAGCUGCACACAGAGUAACACCCUCCUACUCCCCGUGUGGAGAGUCACCCCCCCCUGCGUAAAACACAUUAUUCUUUGGGGGGUAUUCUUCUUUGGGGGUGCAAACACACACACAACGCGUUCAGCCUGUGGGACAUGAGGGAAGGAGGUAAAGCUAGACAGGGAUGAGGGCCCCCCUCUUCAAUCUGAGUCCCUAGGAGGGCCGGCCCAGCACCUGCUAACUCAGGGCAGUGCUCAUCAGAAAAGCAUUUAGCACACUCGCUAACUCCAGGCCAUAAUUAGGGUGGGUAAUUAUUUACAGGCGGCGCUGGGCAGAGCUGGCCUAGCAUAAACAAACAGGCGGCUCGGAGUCACACGACAAACAUCGUUAGCUCUCCGCUCGUUUUCGCCCAAAUGGCAAAAACACUAGCAGCAUGUACUCUCGCUCCCUGAGAGAAGAAGAAAAAAAAAAAACUUCUGGUCUAAAAAAGCUGUCGAUCGCUUCCCAAACACAUUUUAGAGAAGCACAACUAUUGUAACAUCUGCAGUCACACACACAAACACACACACACACACUCAUGAAUAUGAUAACGUGUGAAAUGACAGAUUUAUUUGUGUGUGGCUCCAGGCUUUUAUCUCUGGCACAGUUCAUCAACUCCUCAGCACGAGGACUGCUAACCAACGUAGCGUCUGCACAUGCUAAUUACUGGACCAUGGUUAGCUACAAACCGCACAAUCUCUCCCAAACUAUGAUAUCUAUCAUUUCCUUUCGGGUUCUUUUAGUACAUUUAUCUUUCACAUCAUAAAUAAAGAUGGCAAGUUGCACUUAAACGCUUAGAAGAUGUGGGUUUUUUCUUUUUCUUUUUGGGUUACGUGUUACCAGUUGUGUGUCGCAGGAAUUUGUGUAGUGUAAAUAUAAAGGUAAAUUCAGUUUAUGACACAGUUAGCUUCAACUGACAGAAAUAAAAUUUACUUUUAGUAUCGCCAAAUAACGUUAGAUUCCCGGCCGUUUGAUACGUCUGCAGGUUCGGGCAAAAUGGUAUUUUAUUUAUCUAAAAAGAACCGAUUUAUUUAUUUUUUUGUCUCCUGACAGAAAAUAUCACUGUGUACAGAAUGAAUACAAACAGUGCGCCUCGUGCUAACACUGAAGCAGAGUUAGCGUCCCAGUUUACAACGACGCGCUAGUAGCUGUCAGAAGUGAGUGGCAUGUCAGACCAUGAUUAAUCGGAACAAUCUUCUGUAUGGAUGUUUCAGUUGUUGGUGGAGAAUGGGAGGCUAAUUCAAACAGAAUGUGUAACGCUGUUUACUAAGCAGUGUCUCUUGUGUGUAUUUAAUUGCGCCAGCAGCGAGAAAGAUGAAGAAAGUGAAGGAAGGAGAAAGAAUGGGAGAGCUCCAGAUGGCUCUGAAGCUCUGCUGAGAACUCGGUGGAUUUUUUGUUUUUUCUCCCCCUGAAGUUUUAAUUAGCCUCGAGAACAUUUAAGGGGAAAGUCCUCUUAAACUUGCAGUGUUAAAGAUGACUGAAUGGUAUUUACUUUUGGUAAACGUUAGUACCUAGUUAAGCUAGAGGCGCACGCUGAAAUACUUUUUCGCGGUGGAAAUGGGCUAAAACGUAGAAUAAACUUUAUAUCAGAAACGCCUAGCUAAUCGCAAACGAUAGUGCAAUGCUAAAAACAAAGUAGGAGCCUUCAUUGUUUAUGACCUCCAUUUGUCCUUGUUGCUCGAUGUUUGUAUCAAGAGAAACUGCUGGGAUUUGUGAAUAAUGUUCAGAUUAUAGUACGUAACUGCCACAAUGUGGUUUUAAUGCUACUUACGUGCCAUUUGCUCACCCAUUCACCCUUAAUAACCACCAAGUAACCAUAAGUUUAAUAGCCUCCCACACCAUCCACCGAUAAAGCCCACGGCAAAACUAGCAAAAUAUCCCGAAAACCAUAUGGCACAAAAAACACAUCUUUGAGAGGAUGUCUAACAUGACAGUCUAGCAUACUACAAUCAUCAUGUGAGAAAAUCUUAAACGAGUACGAGUGUCCGGAUUUGCAUUCCUCAUUCCCGUAAGUAUAUAUACGUAAGGAAGGUCUAUUAGUUUCACUGUAGUUACUGAAUUAUUCAUAGUACUUAAUAUGCUGUUAGAUGAAUAACUGAAUAAUAAGCCGGGAGUUUAAGUUAAUAGUGGAACAAAUAUAAACAAUUUAUAAUACUGAGGGGGGAAAAAAUGUAACAAAUUGGAUGCAGAUCAUUUCUUUCCUGCCUCAUUUUUUAAAAAAAUAGACUACUACAUAAUUGCAAGUCUGGUAGUAAUGCAGCAAUACUGAAAAACAACUCAAUGAGCAAUUUAUUAACUGAGUUAGAUCCUUAUAAAGAGGGAUGGUGUCGAACCCUAACACAAAGACCACGAGGCACCACAUCUUUGUACGUUUCUUUUCAUCUGUAGACCCACACACACACACACACACACACUCGCUCACUCACUCGCUCACUCACUCACUCAGGCCAUCACAUACUAAUUGAAACAAGUUUAUUUUGUCCUCUACAAAGCGUUUAAGGCCGUUAUCCUAAAUGCCGUGGCCGUGGCUUUGUUCUCUUCUCAAACACAAUUAGAAGAUAAUAUAUAAAUAUAUACAUACUGCAAAUGACAUGCAUAUAACAGCUUCAUUUGAAGCCUGCGCAGGUCAUUAGUAACCCAACAGGGCGCUGCAGAGCCGCCGGUCCCUCUCUGCCUGCCCGACCAGUGGAGAUUUAUUUGAUAUUAACUCCCUAAUGGCUUAACUCCUUUUCUGGUAAAAUAUGCACCAAAGUCCGUGGCUAACACCGCCAUUCAGCUGAAUGCUUAUUUAUUCACUAAACGAGGAUCUAAUGUUCAAUGUUCCUUGGACACCAAGGUAGUGCCGGGGGAGGUCGGAUUUCCCCCUACAGCUAUAUACAUCAUUUAUUUUACACAUAGCCUCGGUAUCGCACACUGGGCAGCGAGGGCAACGAAAACGACUUUUAUGAAAAUCCGAGGCAGUGAGUCGGCGAGCGCAUUAAGAGUUUUGGCGUAGGGUGAGCUGUGAGCCGGAGCCAUCCGAGAGGCCAUUGAGGAGAUCGUCUCGCCGGCUCCGAUACUUGACGCCUCAUAGCCAG